GGUUGUAGCUCAGUGGGACAGCGCUUGCCUAGCACAUGUGAGGCACUGGGUUCAAUCCUCAGCACCA
rnacentral:tRNA from 1 species